CGUGUGUAUCCCAGCUUAUGCACCCGUGUCUGCCCUAUAGUGAUGACGGGUGGGCUGAAGUUGCUCCUGGUCCCAUUCGUCGGUGGCCCUGGCUGAGCGACUCGUCGUGGUCGGGAUUCGCCCGUGUGCCGCGCUUGCCCUGCGGAACGUGCAAAAGGGUCAAAACCCUAGCCGCCAGCAGUUCUCGUCAAGCUUCCGCCCCGGCCCCUCCCUGCUCUCUCCUCUCCCACGCCGCCACCCUCGAGCCCGCGCCACCUCCACCUCGUCUCCUCCCCGCUCCCAACUCUCCAACGCUGCCGCCCUCAAUGCCUCGUAAGGGACGCUGUCGACACGUCGGGGAUACGCAGCGACGGAGCUCAGCCGGAGCACAGCAGAAACCCACUCCUAACCCUAUUCGCUCGAUUGACAAGAGCAGGGCAACAGAUUGGAUCGAGGGCGCCUUGGCCUGGCCUGGCCGCCGCUGCCACCUGGAUUCACUAGCCGAUGUGUGGAGUUGCCCUGGCCGCCGCCUCGAGUCACCUCCGUCGCCGCCGCGAGUCAGCUCCACCAUUGGCGCCAGGAAUCUCGUCCCAACAAGGAAAAUUCCUAGGGAUUUGAUUGAUGGAGGCAUCACUAUUUGGCGCUGGAUUAUCCAUUUUUGCAGCACCAACAAUGUUGUUUUUGUUUGGAAUGGCCAAUUCUCAAUUUCUAAAUCAGCUAUGCUAUACUUCUUGUCAGGUUACAUUACCUUGCUUGGUUUUCAAUCUAUAUGUAGCACAAAAAUAGGUGACAUGGUUGGUUUGUAGGUUACACUAAGGAACACCACCAUAAGGAAAAGGGCAUUGCACUUCUUUGUUUAUAUUUGGUCUGUUCCUAUUCGGUUUGCUGUAGUACUUAAUUGCUACACCAUUUCAAGUUUCUUGCUGUUUUCAUUGUAUUCAGUUAUGAUAUAUUUUUCAACUAUACAAGCACUUGGGGAAGUCAGGAAAACUGAACCAAAGACAAACACUUUUACUGGUGAUGUUGGUGCUUUUUUUAACUGGGAUGUGAAAGAUGCAUCUUAUCCCCUGAGAUAUAUUGCCUUUAAUUUCUUGAUUUUUCCCUGACAUGCUAAUAUAGAGCCAGAUAUGCAUGAUUCAUCAUACACAUUACAGUCAAUUAUCCAUUGGACUCUUUUGUCCAUAGAGGUGAUUUUGUUUGGACCAAUAGUCUAGGUAGUGACAUUUUGAUCGAUAAGGCACAAGUUUAUUUUCUUUUUCACUUGGGCCACACUAAAGUAAGAAUCACUGUCAGUGAAAAGAAGGCAUACAAAUCAUGAAGUUUUUGCCUUGGUUGUGUCUGUGUGCCUCGUUUAGUUGUCACUUAUUUAUUUCUAGGAAGUUAUUCAAUUCUCAUCGAGCUUUCCUUGUGCUUUCCAUUACUAAAGAAGAAAUUUAAAUACGCAAGAUUUUUAAUAUCUGGGGAGGUGAGAGGAGAUGAAAAAGGGCUGUAAGGGCGUACUUUGGUGCAUCUCUGGCAAAUGAUGUCUGGAUCCAUCUGACGCUCUUCCAAGCAGAGCAGUGCAGAUUUGCUGACUGGUACAACAUCUAAACCUUGGCUACUCUAGCUUCUUUUUACAUCUCUUAGUAUCAACAAAUAAGUAGGUUACAGUAUAUACUUGAAGAUUGCAGCAGGCACAAAAUGCUUGGCUAACCAGCCGGUUAAUAGAGUUGUGCCUAUGAAGGGUCAGUAGAGUAGUUGGUUUUUUCUAAAAUAAAUGAGGAUUAGUUUGGUUGCCAUGUGACGGUAAGGCCAGAAUGGUGGUACUGAAAAGUGGUUCUGUAAUGGUCAUAUGUGUUCUAGAGUUGGAACUUGAUUCUUUUUAAGUUGGAGUGGCUAGGUUGUCUAUAUGUAUUGCAUUAUUUUUCUACGGUGUACUGCUCUUUCUAAUGAUUUUUUAAAGUUCAGUAUUUAAGUUUACGGCAUUAUUCUGCGGCUUACUGUUCUUUCUACAGCAUACUGUUAAUAUCUUAUGCUUUUCAACAUUACACGGUUGAAACCUUCUGUAUAAGAUCUUGCGCUUUCAACAUCUGCUCAUGGCGCUGUAUGUAUUCUGCUAUGAACUGUUUACAUUAUAGAGAGUUGUGGUACUGACAUUUGUACGAUUCCUUUUAGCUGAUGUUGGUUGCUCAUACUGACAAAGGUGCGCGUUAACAAAUGAUUGCAGAGCAGUGGAGAAACAUGUUUCUACGAUUGUGCCAGCUUGAUAUAUGAGUAGGAGAUAGUUGAUAAAGGUGUACCUGUUGUAGGAGAUUAUUAGUUGAUUACCUGCUUCUAUGCGGUGAACAAAUGAGUAAGCAAUUUUAGUUGAUAAAGGUGUAGGCAACGCACCUUUUUUCUUCAUUUUUUGUUUUGUACAUCAAAGAUGUUUAGCCUUUCCUGAAUAUCUUAAUUGUAAAACAGUCUUGAUGCAAUUUUUGAACCAUUCAGUCUGUUUUGUUCGUGCAGUUCAUGGUACCACAUCUGCAGGCUACAUCUUGUGUAGAUUUGGCUACCACAUUAUAUGAUGAUGUUUCACUUUGCUCAGUCAAAAUUUCAGAAUUUUUUUGAAUUGAACAUCUUUUUGUAGACAUACAAAAAUGGUCAGCAUUUUCUACAUCGCCCUGAUAACCAAUUCAAGCUAUUUUCUGCCUAAACUGUUGUGUACCUAUGAGAUGAGAUCAUGGGAUAACUCACACAUGAGACCUGUGUAUUAUACUCCCUUUGAUCCAAAUUAAGUGUCGAGGAUUUAGUUCAAAAACCACGACACUUAUUUUUGAUCGGGGGGAGUAGUAUUUAAGAGAUUCCUUGCAUAUGCAUGAUUCAGAAAAGUACAGUGUGGGAUGCCCUUAUAAACUCAUGAAAUCUGAUCCUGACAGUGACAUGAUUUACUCUGUUUGAUCGAACAGGUCGAAGCCAAAGCUGUUUUUAUUUAAUCUGAUGAUGUCCCUGCUGCUUGCAGCUGUAAGCAAGGAAAUUGACUACAAGUUUCAAUGUCAACCUGAAUUUUUAUUGUGGAUGUUUGAGCGCCAACCUAGAUUUUGUUUAAGCUACUACAAAAAGAACUUUUAGGAUGAUUAGCUGUAGUACUGUGACAAAUAAUCAGGAAAGAUUAUUUUGUAGGAUGAUCAUUGUAUUCCAUAAUAAUAUUAUAGCCGCUGGCCGAACAAUGAAGGUUGCACUGCAACUACUCGACUACAAGUUUUAUGUGGA